rnacentral:lncRNA from 1 species
AAAAAAUCAGAGCAUAACCCGUUCUAACCCGAUUCCCUGCUCUGUUAUGUUAUGUCUGCCCUCCUCUGAUGCUUGGGAAAUCGUUUGUUCUGUGGGCUUCUCCUGAGGAGAUGGACGAUUUUCAGAGCUUGCAGAAAGGCCCGUGAGAAGAGCAGGGGAGGUAUAGUCAUUUCCCUUGUUUUACGGCAGAGGAAACUGAAGAUAAAGCUAUGAAGUGAAGCUGGCUAGUGGCUGCCUCAGGGUUACUACUGAUAUCACUGGACCCCUUCAGAACCAAGCAUGAAUGAAGCAAUCCUUUUUCCCACCUGCAAGUGAGGCUCUGAGGGAUUCUUCAGAAAUCAAGACUUUGACCCACUCCAUAUUAUGAAUGCCUCAGCCUACAAAGAGCUUGCCUAACCCAACAUCAAGGGGUGGACACGUGAUGCUGGACUUCCAGGUACCAGAAACAGGCCUUACUCCACCUUCUAUGAGCAUAUGCCUACACAGGUAGGCUGGGUAUUGCAUUUUCUGAAGAGCAGAUACUGUAUU